ACAGAGGGGGCAAGCGUUGUUCGGAAUUACUGGGCGUAAAGGGCGCGUAGGCGGCUUGCUAAGUCAAAUGUGAAAUCCCCGAGCUUAACUUGGGAAUUGCAUUCGAUACUGGUUAGCUAGAGUGUGGGAGAGGAUGGUAGAAUUCCAGGUGUAGCGGUGAAAUGCGUAGAGAUCUGGAGGAAUACCGAUGGCGAAGGCAGCCAUCUGGCCUAACACUGACGCUGAGGUGCGAAAGCAUGGGGAGCAAACAGGA
rnacentral:rRNA from 1 species